ACGAUUCACUACCCUUAUGAAAAAUCAAUUACACCAGAGCGUUUCCGAGGGCGAAUCCACUUUGAAUUUGAUAAAUGUAUUGCUUGUGAAGUAUGUGUUCGCGUAUGUCCAAUAGAUUUACCCGUUGUGGAUUGGAGAUUUGAAAAGGAUAUUAAAAGAAAACAAUUGCUUAAUUAUAGUAUUGAUUUCAGAGUUUGUAUAUUUUGUGGUAAUUGUGUUGAGUACUGUCCAACAAGCUGUUUAUCAAUGACUGAAGAAUAUGAACUUUCUACCUAUGAUCGUCAUGAAUUGAAUUACAAUCAAAUUGCUUUAAGUCGGUUACCAAUCUCCAUAAUGGGAGAUUACACAAUUCAAACAAUUAGGAAUUCGUCUGAAAGUAAAAUAAACAAAGAAAAAUCUUCGAAUUCAAGAACGAUUACUGAUUACUAA
rnacentral:rRNA from 1 species